AUGGCUUCCAUGGGGUUUAGCUACGCACAGGUACACGUGAAGCAAGAGAGACUGAGGAGGAGGAUCAGCGAGGAGGCUUCGACAGCGACGAUGACAGGUAAGUCGAUGACCGGAGAAGAUGGGAAGGAGAAUUUUAUUGGUGAAGAGGAGAAGAAGGCAGCUUCCAACACAUGGACCGCCGGCGCCGGGAGGGUGCAUCCAUGUGCAUCUUCAACGGCGGCUGCGGCGCCAAAGGGUGGCCACCGGUGA
rnacentral:rRNA from 1 species